AGAGAACUUGUCCAUCUUUAGCUAUGAUGGCAAAGUCAAAUACCAAGAGAUCAUAAACUCAACCAAAGAAUUCGAUCCAAAAUACCUAAUCGGAACCGGAGGAUACGGCAAAGUAUACAAAGCAAACCUCCCAGGCGCAACCGUAGCAGUGAAAAAGCUACACCAAACAAUGAACGAAGAGAUAUCAAAGCCAGUGGUGAAGCAAGAGUUCCUAAACGAAGUAAGAGCCUUAACAGAGAUCCGUCACCGCAACGUGGUGAAGCUCUUCGGCUUCUGCUCUCACCGCCGCCACACUUUCCUGAUCUACGAGUACAUGGAAAAAGGAAGUUUAAACAAACUGUUAGCUGAUGACAAAGAAGCGAAACGACUCAAUUGGACCAAAAGGAUCAAUAUAGUGAAAGGUGUGGCGUACGCGUUAUCGUAUAUGCACCAUGACAGAUCAACUCCGAUCGUCCACCGUGAUAUUAGCAGCGGCAACAUCCUUCUCGAUAACGAUUACAAAGCUAAGAUCUCCGAUUUCGGUACAGCGAAGCUUCUCAAGAUGGAUUCCUCAAAUUGGUCCGCCGUCGCCGGAACCUAUGGCUAUGUCGCUCCAGGUAUAUCUAAAUCAAUGAAAUUGAAAUCUUUAAAAUCGAUUUCGAGCUUAUGAAAUUGAAAAUUUCUGAACAGAAUUGGCUUACGCGAUGAAGGUGACGGAGAAAUGCGAUGUGUAUAGCUUCGGAGUAUUGACGCUGGAAGUGAUAAAGGGGAAACAUCCGGGAGAUUUGGUUUCGGCUUUGUCAUCGUCGUCUCCGGGAGAAACUCCGUCGCUGAGAAGCAUUUCCGAUGAGCGUUUAGGAGAACCAGAGGCGAAGAUUAGAGAGAAGUUAGUGAAGAUGGUGGAAAUGGCGUUGUCGUGCUUACAAGCAGAUCCAAUGUCUCGGCCAACAAUGUUGUCAAUUUCAACGGCAUUCACCUAAAAACUUAUAAUAUAAGGUUUUUACAAUUAAAAUAAAACACAAAGUUAAACACAUGAUAAAUUAUGUGAUUAAUAAAUAUUAAUAUAGUUAUGCUAUUUUAGCCAAACGUUUGAGUUUUACUAGAGUUAUAAUUAUGGCUGCGUAAUGUGAAUAUACUAAAUCUUGUAGUUGUUUUGCUUUGGCUGAAUAAUAUUUUGUUUAAAAUUAUGUUAUAAAUAAUUAUUACUAUAGUUUAUAACAUGUAGUCAUCUCUUAAAUAUUUUUUAAUAUCAAUUUGAUUAUUUGUUUUUGUGAAAGAUGGAAGUAUGUGUAAUGUGUUCAUCAAUGCAAUUUCGAUUUGUAUUCGAAAGUUUUAAACUUUUAACUGUUUUGGAGAAAUAGACCUUUUUUUAGUCUGUUUUAUUAUAUACUAGUCAGUUUUCUGCGUUACGCGUGUGAGGUCUAUUAUAUUGUUUAUGAGUAAUUGGUUCAUAUUUUAUUUUUUAUUUAUUUUUCACUUUAACAUAUUUUUUUUUAAUCUUAGAUUGUGAUUGUAUAGAAAACAUGUUGAGUUUUAGCUUCAUUAGUAGUUGACAAAUUAAAUGUGUAUAAUAUUUAAUAAAAUGAACUAAAUAAAGAAAUAUAUGUGGUUUAAACAGAAGUAUGGUGGAGAAUCAUAAAGAAACAUGUGUUAUUAGGGUUCCUACCAAAUACUUAUUUACAUAUGUCUAAAUCUAAAAUUAAAUGAUAAAAUUAUAUAAAUAAUUUUUAAAAUUAAAUAAUAAAAUGAGGUGGAUGAUGAUUAGGAUGAUGAGGUGGCUUAAGGAGGAGAGAGCAAAGUUAACUUUAUAUAUAGAUAUAUUCGUUUCUGAUUUUUUGUUUAAUAUAUUUUCUGUAUUUUCAUAUGGAACAAUUUUAAAAUUUAACAUAGUAGUAUAAUUUACUUUAUAUUUAGUUCAUUUCAUUUAAUUAUGUUUUUUUACUUUUUAAUUUUUAUGAAAUAUUGUUAAUUUUUUAUUUUGUUUAUUAGUUUACCAUAUAUGAUGUAUUGAAAACAAUUAGUUGAAUUCAUAUUGGAAACCUUUUAAAGAAAUAUUAUUUUUAUUGUUACCAUUUUUAUACGUGUUUUUAAAAUGAGAAUUCAUGUUUUGUCCCAACCUAUCUCUUUUAUGUUGGAGAAUUUUGAAUUUUUUGAGACAUAAAUUACACAAAUCAUAAUAUUAUUUUUAAUGAAUAUAUAUAUAUUCAUUAUUUUUUGUUUUAUUCCCGUUAAAUCCCAUUAUAAUUUAGGUUUAUAUUGUGUAAAUAUAAUCAAAUUUUGUGUCAUAUUAUUUUUAAUUGAUAUAUAUAUAUAUAUAUUCAUUCUAAAAUAUUUACUUAAAAACUAUAAGCUAUUAUUUAUAUAUUAGUUCGUAUUAUCAAUAAUUAGUAAGUUUUUUAAUCAAUUAUUAUUUUUAGUUUUAUAAUAUAAAAUAUAAGAAAAGACCUUUCAUAUUUCUUUUAGAAAACUUAUUUACAUAUGUCUAAAUCUUAAAACUAAAUGAUAAAAUGAUAUAAUUAAUUUUUAAAAUUAAAUAAUAAAAUGAGGUGGAUGAUGAUUAGGAUGAUGAGGUGGCUUAAGGAGAAGAGAGCAAAGUUAACUUUAUAUAUAUAGACUAGCAGUUGACCCGCGCUGCGCGCGGAAGGUUUAUAUAUAUUUUUGUGAUAUUUUAUUUAUUUUAACUGAUUUUCAAAACAUAUUAUAGUUAUUUUCUCUUGAAUUAUUAUCUUUCAAUAUUUAAAUUUGGAUUAAAAUCAUUUUCUUUUUCAUCAAGUUAUAAAUUAAUAUUUCGCUUUCAAUUUUAUUUUUCCCCUUUAAGAUUUUAUAUGUACAAUUACAUAAAUGUUGUUUUUAUUCUACCAUAAAUUGAAAAUUUACUUACAUUCUUAAAGUCAGUAACACAUUUAAAAUUUUAAACUAUGAUCAAUUUAAAAUGAAAGUUGAAUUAUAUUAUUACCACUAACUAAUAUAAAAUGAAAGUAUUUCUUAUUUAACAUUUCAUUUAUUUACAUAAUUUAUUUUUAUUUAUAUAAAUUUUCUAUUAAUUAAAUAAGUAGCAUAAAUAUGCACUAAAUGAAUGUUUUAAAUUUAUUUUAAUGUAGAAAAAAUGUGGUUUAUGUGGAUGCUUAGGUGGCAUCAUGAGAAGAGAGAAAAAGCUAACUUUAUAUAUAUAUAUUACUGCACAAUGAAUAUUAUAAUCAACCGAAUGUUCUAACGUAUAUAAGAGCAUGAUUAAUGGUAGGCUUUUAGCCUUAAGGUUUUGUUAAGAAAAACUUUUAACCAACUUCGUAAACCUCAACCUCUAUAACAAUUUUUUUUUGGGUCCACUUCCUUCUCAGAUUGGAAACUUACCCAACCUUGUUAAGGUAGGCCUUAGUACAAACAUUUUGUAAAUUUCACCCACUUCCAUUGGAAAUUUCACCAACUUGGUAAAACUUAAUCUCUAUAUCAGUUCUUCCUCGGGUCCACUUCUUUCUGAGUUUGGAAACUUAGUUGAGCUGGAUUUGUCUAGCAACAACCUCACAUGUGAACUUCCAUAAGAAAUUGAAAAUCUCGCAGGUUAUUCGAAGCUACUACUAAAUGGGAAUCCACUAUCAGGAAGAGUUCCUACAUUUCUAAGUUUCUUAACCAAUCUCGAGGUUCUUGAUUUAUCCUUAAACAAUUUCAGCUCCCAGAUCCCGCAAACUUUUGACUCCUUUUUAAAGCUUCAUGACAUGAACCUAAGCAGAAACAAAUUCGGCGAAUGUUUUCCCCGCCUCACAAAGCUGACUCAAUGAAAUAAUCAAGAUCUCAGCCACAACCAGCUCGAUGGAAAAAUCCCAUCAGGGCUCAGCCUCUUGCAAAGCCUUGAUAAGCUUGACCUCUCACAUAACAAUCUUUCGGUUCUCUUUCCAACAAGUUUUGAGGGCUUAAAAGCGCUCAUACAUCGAGAUAUUAAACAAUAAACUCGAGGGUUCACUUCCAGAUAAUGCAGAGUUUCGAAAUGCAACAUCAGAUUCAUUGUAGGGAAACUAAAGCUUAUGCAGUAAUAUUGCUAGACAAAAGUUAAUAUUAGACUAUAACCAGUGCUAUAACACAGUUUGAAUUAUAUUUAGUAUAAAAAUGGAUAUAUUAUAUAUUUUAAAAUAAAGUUUUGAUAGAUGAUUAUAGUAAGUGAAACAUUUCAAUCCGAUACGUAGUAAGAAUUUUUGUUGAACGUAUUUUUGUUGAAAAGAAAUAUAUUAUUUAAGUCUAAAUUUUUGACCAGUUUCAAGAUUUCUUUUCAUUUUUCUCAUAGAUUAAAUAGUUUAUAUCCGUUUUAAAAAAUUCAACUCAUGGCAUAGGUGGAAAAUAUAAUUAUAUAUAUAUAUAUAUAUAUAUAUAUAUGAUAAUUUAUUUCUUUCAUAAAUAUGGAACCAUUGAGAAAUGAAGUAUAAUGAUUGUAACGCAUGUGUCCAAAUUCUGGUCGUAAUGAAGUUUUGUAGGGUGUCGAUUCACAUCAAGUGUGGGUAUCGGUCGUCACCAAGGUAGAAGUGGUGUUGUCUGGUGGUUGUGUCUACUGACACCAGUUUUCUGUGAGCAUUGAUUUGUGUUUUUGAUUGCAUGGUUUGGUUGUUUGGUAUUCGUUUGUGUGUGAUUGUGAUCUUAACGCUUGUGUCCAUAGCCCAGUAGAUGGGAUAAUCGCUUCAUUGAGUAUUUUUGAUAAUACUCACGCAUCUCAUUGUGUUUGUGGUGUAGGUAAAGUGUGGCAUGGAAUCAUGGCAAUAAAAACCAGAUUUUUUCAUUUUUGCUGAGAUCCCUUUAUUUCAAUGUGUACUGCUUUUGCUACACUUAGAUCACAAAUUCUAACUUAAUAGUUGAAUCAAAAAAUGAAUAUGCCAUUCAUAGCAAAAUUUUGAAUUAGUACAAUUACAGUAGUUCGAUGAGUAAUAUAUAUAUAUAUAUGAAAUAUUAGCACUCUCACACCGUUUCCAUCUUUGUUAUUACAUUUUAGCACCGUUUGAGACUAUGGCACCGUUUUUGACUGUGAAUAGACAAAACACUCCCUAACUUAAACAUUUAACUAAACAACUUCUCUCACAAUAUUGUUUCACACACCAAAUUUUGUUUCCUUUACUAUAUAUUUUAAACUUUAAUAAUAAUAAACAGAACAAUAUCUUCUCAUCUAUCGACUGUAAACAAAAAGAGAUUGAAAAUAAUACCUAAAUCCCCAGUUUAUCUUCUACAUCUACCAUGUUUCUUCUCGAAGAACUAUUCUCAACUACCAUGUUUCUUCUCGAAUUUCAGAUAUGGUUGCCAGAGAUCUUGAAGGAAAAUAAUUGCCCAGAAACUCUCGUUGUCUCUAACCUGCUCUACCCAGAUUUGUUUUUCAAUGGAUCUGCAAAUUAUUUAAGGUUUACUCCACUAUUCCUUUGCUUCCUCGAGUUACGUUCUUACCACUACAACCCCCAAUAGAUUCUUCCAUUACAAAGAAUCCGUCUGCUUUUCUUCAUUGUCGUAGGGUUUUGAGUGAAGACGAAACACCUUUCUAGAGUCGUCAGAAUCGUCCCUCCUUUCUAGAGUCGUCAGAAGCAUUUCUAAGUGUUGUUUUGUGCACAAACCUUAGCAAACGUAGAUUUUGUGGACAUAUAAUCGUGGACUUCAUUUUUGUGGAUGGCACUUCUUGGAUAAAACGAGUUCCAGAGGUCAAAUCUCACAUUUUUGUUGAUUUUGGAAUUUUUCUUGGAUGGCAUGUAGUUAGAAAUGCUUGUGCCGUGUCAUACUUUUGCUUUGAUCAAUCAUACAUGUGCAUCUACUAAAAGGGAACUUUUUGGUUUGCUUGAAGAAGAAAGCACGUUCGUGUCCAAAAUGUACGUCACGUUACUUAACGCUGCUUUUAUUCAACGUGAGAUGUUGAUUUCCACGAAAUAAUGACCAUAUGUUCAGUUUAUUUGUAGCAUCAACAAUCAUGCUUUUGUAUACCAAUUAUCAUCUUUAAUGUUAACCAUUUGUGUCUUUCUUCUCUGUAAUGUUCACAUUCCAAAAUAUUAUCUUGCAAAGGUAUUAUUCCAUCUUUUGCACCAUCUCAAAAUCUUCAUAAGAUAAGAUGUAAAAAAAAUUGAAUAUCCAUAGGAAAUCUUACAAAGUUAUUAUUUCAAUGAAUCUUCUUGACACUCAUUAUCUUUUUCUUCCUGAAUUUUCUAACAAUAACAUAAAAAACAGAUUCAAAAUGAUAUCAUAAUCAAACCAACAAUAAACGUAACCAUCAUACCACAUUCGUAACCAUCAAACCGCUGCCAUCAAAUCACAUCACAACCACAACAUUUCCAGCCACCACAUCAUAUCCACCGUAUCGCAUCCACCACAUUUCAUCACAUUCACCGAAACGGAACUCUACCAUUGAACUUCAAUUCUGUGGACAGCGAUUCAUGGAUUUCAUCUCCGUGGACAGAGAGUUUCUUGGACGUUUCUUUCUUAAAUUUAGUGGCCAGUUGGAAAACAAUGAUAAUGAGAAUCUCCGGAAACUAAAGAUGCAAAAAAAUUAUUUGACCAAGAAAUAGCAAAAUUUUAAAAGAUGUUAAAAUGAUACGUCGGAGGUUAAGGUACACAACCAUUUGAUAAGAAGAUUGGGUCGAACACACAAUUCCAGAAAACAUGAAAACUGAAUCUUGCUGGAGAAAUCCAAAAAAAAAACGAACGAGCACAAAAACGAAUAUUCAAAAAAAGGAACACUUAAUCAAUUCAAUGUUUAGCAACAUACAUAAAAAACGGAUUGACUCACCUUAGAUGAGAAGAGCUUCUAGGUCCCAUUUCCUGUAAAUUGUAAAAAACCGUAAAGAUAAAAAAACAAUGAAUUAUGAGUAAAACUUCACAAUUUUUAACAAAAAUAGCAAAUAUAAUUCACAUGAAUCAGUGCAAAAAACCUCAAUUUCACGUUGAGUAUAAACACCCACAGAGACAAAAAGAAAAAAAAAAGAAAAAAAAAUUGCCGUCGAGAGUAGGAAGAAGAAGACGAGAGAGGUGAGUUUUUAUUAUAAGCCGCUUUCGCUAGCAAUUGAUGGCUAAGAUGAAAUUAUAUCCAACUUGAGCAUUUUUUGGUUUGUUUCACUCAUCUUUUAAGUUGGAGGACAUAAUUGUCCAAAUCUGGCGUCUACAGUGUAAAAGUAAGUGAAAACGGUCCAUAAACACAAGAGGGUGUUAACGCGAGAACUAAGACACAUAAACGGUGUCUCUCUAUAUAUAUAUUACUAGAUUUUAACCUGCGGUACACCGCAUGAAGAUAUUUUAUAAUGUCUUUCUUUUUUUAUUAAUUUUGUAUGGUAUAUAAGAUUGUACUACAUGCUGGAAAAAAAAUUGUACAACUGUAUUUUAAUGUUAAUUCUAUGAUUUAACCCGUGUAAUAUUGCAUGACAAUUUGUUUUUUAUAUAAUGUUAAUUUGAUCAACUUAACUAAAUAAGUCUAAUAUUCAAAAUAAUGAAAUAAUGUUGGCAUAACAUAAUUCGUUUAAAUAGCCUAAUUUCAGAUUAAAAUAUUUUGUGAGUUUUACUAUAGUAGACAACCCGUAAAAAUAUCUAUAGUCAUAACUUUGUAAAUUAUAAACCGCUUCAUCACAUGACCCGUGCUACACAAUUAUCAAUAAUAUUUUAGUACAUACAUUUUUGUAUCGUUUGAGUAAUAUACGUCCGUUUUCAAAAAUUCAAAUUGCAACAUAUGCAAAAUAAAAAUUAUAUUUUUAUUAUACAUAUGUUGUAUGUAAUAAUAUAAAUUUGAAAACAAAUAAGAUCAUAUAAAGAUAUUGGAGAAAUAUUUGAUUUAUUAGGGAGAGAUUUUAGGAAAUUUUGUUAAAUGUAAUAAAUAAUGGUUUCUAGUUUUGCAAUUUUAUUAUGAUUUAAUUACAAAAUUUACCUUAAAUUUUUGUUAUUUAUUCAAUUGCCAUGAGUUUAAUUAUGAAAAUAUUACAAAAUAAAAAGUUAUAACCCAAAAGGUAUAUCAAAAAUGUUAAUAUAGAAAUAUAUAUAUAUAUAUAUACUAUUUUCUUUGAAUUUUGUUAAUUUUAGUGUGUUGCGUUGUAUAUAUACCUCUUUGAAUCAAAUGGCAACAAAGGUUAACUUGGUUAUGGGAUUAACAAUUGUGGUAGAUGUUGAGAGUUCAAAUUCUCUAGUGUAAAAAUUUAACUUUCUAAAAUUAAACGUCCUAAUUUAAAGUUAAAGGUAUUACUUGGCAUCAUAGUCAUAAUCCAGAUACAGCAUUGGAAAUUGAGACCAUUCCUUGUACAACCAUUGGCAGCCUACAAAGGUUGUAUCGUCUUUUUAUUUGCUUGAAGUCAUAGAGAGAUAGUGAAAGAAUACAUGUAGUGUUGCAACUCCACCCAAAAGAGGAAGAGGUCGACCAAGAAAAGGACAAGUCAGAUUUGUUCAUCCAUUGAUACUUUAAAAUCAUUUGAAUGCUUAUUGAUAUUUUGAUAUUUUGAUUGAAAUAAGGAGCCAAUGGUUAUAUUGUUUGGACAAGGAACACCAUUACAAGGAGAACCUUCUCAGGGAGCACGUCAACUGUCUCAUGAAGCACCUUUAAUAGUUUUGUUAAGACAUGUUCCAAACAAGUGAUGUCUAUUCAUUAUGAGUUCCAAAAGGUUUACAUCACAAACAUAGAAUUGUUUGCUUAAUAACCUAGCAUAAGUUUUUCCUGAUUUCCUUUCCUAAACAAUACAUAACCCAGCACAAUGGUGAUAACACAAAGCCACACAAAACAGACUUUGAAGCACAAUUUACACUUGUUGUGGAGUUCCUUUUUGCUGAUCAUUUCUUCUUCCUUCACUUCUUUCAUCAUAGCCUUCAACUCAUUCACUUCUCCUUUGAUUUUUCUAAUCUCAUUUGCAGGGAUGGCUACUCUUGGUAAAGCAUCAUCUACUUCUUCAAACACGGCAUCCUCGACCCACUUAAACAAACUCUAAUGAACAAAAAAAUGACAAAUAGUUAGCUAGCUUACACUGAUUUUUCUACCUAAAUAAUAAGUUUUCAUAUACUUACAUCUCUUUUGCUUGUCCACGAAUUCACAUCACGUUUGCUUGCACAACGAAAGAGGUCGUCCCGGAUUCUCUUCAGGUUUAGAUGUAAAGAUCGUGACACCUAAACCACAAACACACUUGCUAGGCACACCACGCUCACUAACGCCACUCGUUGUGACAGAGCUCGAACUUGAACUCAUCGGAACAGAUAGAUUGCAGAAGAAUUUUGGGGAUUUUCAGAUUUUGUGACCUAGAAAUCGAUUUGGGGAUUUUAAGUUUCAUCAAUGUGUAAAAAGACGUCGUUUUGUUAACAGAUAAACGGCAACGUUUGCAUUAAACGAAAGCAGGAGACGGAUUGUUAACCCCGUCUGUGCAGUUCUAACAGCGAGUUAACACCAUGGUUAAAACGGCUCAGUCAACAAAAGUUUGAUAAUUUAAGCAAAGUCAACAAAAAGUUUGUAAUUAUAAAGGUUUCCGAAAAAUUCAUGAUUAAACGUCCCAAAUUUGAAAGUUGAAAAUUAUUAUAACAUUUUCCCAUUGAAUAAUACCCCUAAACACCAUUAUCAUUCUACUCUGCACAAAAACAAAAACAAAAAGUUUCCUUCUUUGAAAACCAUUAACCAAUCCGAGUAUUUUCUCAUGGCCCGAGGAAUUUCAUGUGGAAGUUCUUGAUGAAAUGGAAAUCGAUCAUUGACCAUGACCACUUGAUUCAGUCUAAUUUUUAUCAUAUCUCAGUCAGUACACUCACACACACGUCAUUUUGACCAAUAGUCCCUAAAUAUCUUCCAAAGCAAAGAGUUGAAAUUUACUCAACGGAUUGUUCAACGUUUAACACCUAAGAAGGUUUCGUAAUUUCACAAAGUAAACAGCCAAAAUAAGAAAUUUGAACCCACUACUGGUUUAGGCUACUUAGAGCAUUUUUAAGGGUGUAUCUUUGAGGAUGUAUCUUAACCAUUAAUAGGUAUAUUAAUAAUGAAAAGUGUAAGUUAAGAAGAUUUGAUUUUGAGGUGAUUAUUGGUUAAACCUCUAGUAUCUUAGAGUUUUAAUAAUAUAAUAAUAUUUAUAUAUUGUUAAAUUUUUGAAAUUAAAUAAAUUAUUAAUAAACUGAAAACUUAAAAAAAUAAACAUAUAAACAUAUAUAGAAAAUACAAUUCAAAAUAAUUUAAGAAAAACAAUAAUGAUAAAAAUUAGAAACACAAAUAUAGAAAUAAUAAACAUUAAAAUGACAAACAGUAAUAGAUAGAAACAUAUUAAUUGAAGCACAAAACAUUAUAAGAAAUUAAUGCAAAGUUUAGAAAUCAAUCUUUCCAUCUAGGGUUCAUUUGAGAGAGAUUUUUCGAUUUGGGGCUUUUUUUUCUUUUUGACAAACCAAAAAAAAAAAUCGUUUGUUUACUUAUUUUUUUACCCAUUCAACUUCUGCCACGUUGCGUAAGAACUGAGUCGGAAAAGAUGUUGGAUAGCAUCCGGAUGCUCCUUCACAUUCUACUGUUUUCAAUAUCUGGGUUUUAAAUAUUACUCUAAGGGCCGAUCGGAUAUAGCCAUAAAGAUGGCCUUACCCGACGCCGACAUGUUAAAUUAAAAUUAGAGGAUAUAUAAAAAGUAGAAUUGAAAAUGAUUUGUAUAAAUUUUUUAAAUCCUAUCUUAUUCAGUAAUGAAUUUUAAAAGUCUAAUGAAAUUUAGUAAGGGAAAAUUACAUUUUAACUUUCAACGUGUUAGUCAGUAGCACUUUAAAUUUCGAGAACUAGCAUUAUAAAUAACCAAAAUGAUUUCUAACACUUUACACAUUAAAACUAGCUUGUAUGUUCGCACCGCAAUGAUGGAGUAAUAAUGUCCAUCAACAAAAUAUUUAAAUUAAUUUUUAGUUUGUUUUAUAUAUAAAAAGAUAAUAAAAGAGGUGGCAAAAGAAAUAAGAAAAAAUAAAAGAGAUUUCAUCUUCAUCGACUACUCACUGUCUGAUCAUGAAUCUUCUAGAUAUUAUUUAUGUUCGUUUCGUUGACGUAAUCGCUGCCGCUGCCGCUGAUAUUAUAUUCACUUUACUGAUUGUGAUCAGAAACCGAAGAAUCAUCCCCAUUUGAAUAGGGUAAAGGUGUGAUAUUCUUGAUAUAUAUAGGAGACUAUUUGGUUCCUAACGAAAAAUCAAUCAGUUUGAAUCGACCUAGUGGAUAUACAUAUCUAAAUAUUGUAUAUAUAUUUGUGGCAAAUAUGUGGUCGGACUUUGAGUAGUAGUAGAAAUUGUAAAUGAUAAAAUUAAUUGAAAUUUAAAUUAAACAAAUAGAAUUUAACUAUUUCUUUUUUACAGACAAUAAUGAUUUAAUAUUUUAUUCUUGAAAGUAAGUAUUUUAUUUUAAAAAAAUUGAAUGGUUUAGGAUAUUUGAUUAAAACAUUAAAUGGUUUCGGGUUAUGAUAUAUGAUUAUAACCUAUAGAGAUUGUCUCAUGGUAAAAAAAACAUGGAAACAUAAUUUCUAAUUUGAUUUUUGUCUACUCAACCAAAGAUUUGAAGCAAAAAUAUUUAGAAGAAUAAAGAAGAGAAUUUAGCAUAUUAGCACCGUUUAUGUCUUUCUAUUCACGGUCUAGCACCGUUUCAGCAAGUCACACCCUUUCUACUUACCAUUUGACUCUUAUGUCCUUCUAACUAAGACAUCCGAUCGAACUAAACAAACAUUUUAUUAAACGGUGAAAAAUAAAGAAACUGUCAUUUAAAUAAACUGUCAUUUAUUUGGAAAACAGAAAAUUUACCAUUAAUUACAGUUUCCAAACUUUUUCGUUCUUCUAAGGUGGAACCCUAGAGCCGCCGCAUCUUCUCCCAGUUCAAACCGGAAUCUUACCGGAAAACACUCAUUACCCCCAAGACAGCCGUUCUUCUCUAGCCGUCAUCUGAGGCCUAGGAGCUUUUCGUCGCAACCUGUCAUCGGAGCCCUAGGUACCCAUCUUGCGAACGACAUCUAUGGCCUCCAACCGCCGCAUCACUGGGUUCUUCAAACCGCAAUCGACGCAUCCGCCUACAGAUGCAGAUAACUCUGAGGAUCCCCCCCUCUGAAUGGGAUCCUCGUCUUCCUCACCGUAUAUUCGCCACCAACCGUUACCCCGACGCCCGGCUCAAUGUCUACUCAAAACCGGAUAUACUCACUGUAAUCUACAAGGUCCUAAAAGGCACCCAAGAGUUCGAUACUAUUCUUGAUUCCCCGCUGCGGUCGUUGUUUAAGUUAAGAGUCAGCGAGUGUAGUAUCUCGUGUAAAUUGGUCCACGCGCUGCUCUGCCGACAAUUGGUAUCCAAGCGGAAGUACGAGUUGUGGACUGUUUUCGGUGGACAACCGUUACGAUUUUCGUUGAUGGAGUUUGGCGCUGUCACAGGUUUGGAUUGCUCCGAGUUCCCCGAAGAUUAUGAUCCUGAUUACCAACAUUUCCCUGCCCCCGGAGAGCAAUGUUACUGGGAUAAUCUUAUUGGUGACGACCGGAAGGCAACUUUGGCUGAUGUUUCCAAAGUUUUCGAAGACCCCAAGGUUGAUGAUUUGCAAAAGAAACUUCGUCUUGCGUUGUUGCUUAUCGUGGAUGGUGUCCUUAUUGCUUCUAGCCAAACACACCGGCCUACAUUCAAGUUUGUGGAGAUGUUGGCUGAUGUUGACUCUUUUCUAACGUUCCCUUGGGGCCGUGAAUCCUUCUUGAAGACCAUUUCUGCUAUGAUGCCUGGUAAGAAGAUUCUAACCAAACCUGCUUCGAAAAAGCUCAGAGUUCAGGGGAAAUACUCUGACCCUCUCUCAACAUUCACUGAACAACUCCAGUAGAAGACAUUCCGCCUCAAUGGUUUCCCUCUAUCUCUCCAACUGCUCGCUUAUAGGAACAUUAGUGGCCUCCUUGAUAAGAUCCCCGGUUCCAAUGACCCUCGUACCUUUCUAGAAUGGGAUUCUGUUGGUAUUCCCAAGAAUAGCUUGCAGCUCACAGAUGUCCACCAAUUCGAGCGCUCACCUGAGGUAUGUUCCACCCUAAAAUUACCUACCAAGAUAACCCAUCCACGUGGAUAACACUCUUAUGACUAGUUUUUUUUGUUUUCCCAGUUAACUAUCUCUAACUAUAUUCAUGUCGACCCACCGGAGGAGGGUUGGGGAGAGUUCGACGAUGAAGUUAAAGACCGCAAGGUUUCUUACUUGAUGUCUCUAAUUGAAGAAAGACAUGUUUUCAAAAGUAGUGAGUGGCCUGGCGGUGAUUCUUCAUUGCCUCUAAUUGUCAUUCCAGAAAAACCACGUGAUGUUAUCCAUAGGCGGCACAUUGUCUCUCGGAGAAGGAAGACAUCACAAAGGUUUCGCUCCCGUCAGUCCACGACAUCCAAGCACAAAGAUAAGCCAGUUACCCCAAUGGAUAACCAAUCUAACAUCGAAGAUCCACUCCAAAAUGAUCUCAGAUAUUGGUUUGAGGCUCAACUCACGUCUAUCCGCUCCAGUUUUGAUGCAAGGCUGAAUAAGUUGGAGUCUAAGAACAAAAAAUUGAUUGGGAAAUUAAACUCUAUGCUUUCUCGUGGUAUAUGGAAACCACGCCAUCGCCGUCAGCUCCACAUUUUCAAGAAACGUUGUGUUAAUAAUAAGAAGGAAUCACAGCCUCCCCCCCCCCCAACAAAGAGGGAGUGUGUGAUAACGCACACAUGAGUGUUCCCAAAACUGUUAACUCUGAAUUACAUGAAACGACAUUAGACACUGGUAGUCCAGAAGAUAUUCUAGACGGUGGGCACGACUGGUCAAAAUACAGUACAAAUGUAUGUAUUUUCUUCCCACUACUUGUCUUUUUUAUUUUUUUUGUUAGGUUAAUCGUGUUUGUGAUUCUAGAGGUUAUGAUUCUCUUUUUUUUUUCAACAGGAUCCUCUCGACGAGUCUAUAAACUUAGCUGCAACACCCUCUAAGAGUCAUGUACACAUUACUGUAAGCAACCCCUGUCAAGUAUGCAUCUUUUGACUCCUGUCAAGAUCUUACCUUCAACAUCUUAUCUCACAUUUUCUACCAAUCAUUUCCCCUGCAUGUUUUCCACACACAGGGUGAUCAGGACGCCAAGUUUCUCUCGCAGUUGCCAGUCCAUGCAGAGGAUAUCCAGCAAGAGGAUGCCCAGGGAGCCAAGGCCCUACAAGUCUAUGCAGAGGAUAUCCAUUCCGUGAAUAUCCAGGAAGAUGAUGUACAGGCACACGCUAUCCAGGCACAAGAUGACCAUCAACAUGGUGACCAGGCAGAGGGUGACCAGGCAGCCAAACCCCUACCAGUCGAGGCAGAGGAUAUCCAUCCAGAGGAUAACCAUGCAGAGGAUUAUCAGGUAUGAGAGUCCCUAUUCCAGGUCUUACUCACCAUUUCCUCCUACUUUAAUUUUAUUGUCCAAAGGAAGCACAUCUCUCACAAUACUUCUUCAUUCAUCCCCAUUCCGGGGAUAUCCAGGAAGAUGAUGUCCAGGCACACGCUAUCCAGGCACAGGAUGACCAUCAACAGGGUGACCAGGCAGAGGGUGACCAGGCAGCCAAACCCCUACCAGUCGAGGCAGAGGAUAUCCAUCCAGAGGAUAACCAGGCAGAGGAUUAUCAGGUAUGAGAGUCCCUAUUCCAGGUCUUACUCACCAUUUCCUCCUACUUUAAUUUUAUGGUCCAAAGGAAGCACAUCUCUCACAAUACUUCUUCAUUCAUCCCCAUAUCCUCAGGAAACUCCCGCCGCAUAUAUGUCCCAACCCAUAUAUGACACUGCACCACGUUCCACAUUAUCUAACCCCUCCAUAUCUCCUCCUUCCAACCAGCACAAUGUCAUAUAUGACACAGCUCCCAAACAGAGGCUUGAAGAGUUAUAUGAGGUAUUUUUUCCCACAUCGCAGGGACGAUGGAUAAAAUCCGCCUAUUGACAAUACAACUUCUUUUUUUUUCUUCCAUUAUGUUAUCUUACCUACUGUUAUUUCCCCCCUUAGCCAUUACCAGAUGUAUAUAUUUUACCUCCUUCCUCGGCUGUUGUUGUUGAUGAUGAAGGGAAAGAGAUUCCAGUGAGCUCCAAAACCCUGUCCCCCUGUUUUAAAAUUGUAACUUCAUAAGUUAAUCACACUCACUCUUAAUUUAUAUGUGCAGUCCCCCCCACCAAUCAAAGAGGACGUGGUCGCGAUUGAUAAUGAUGUACCUGUCCACGAAACACCUGUUCAGGUAAAAAACAUUCGCCUGUUUAUCCAUAUGGAUUGCAUUUCGUGGACACUGCCAUCUAACCCAAUACUUUGUCAACCUAGUCCAAAGCAGACGCGACUAUUCCCCCGUCCUCAAUUGGCGUUGAUGAUGUGGAUGCCGAGUUGUCGGUCAGUUACUUAAAAAUCCCUCACUUUAUAUUUCCAUUUUUGGUUAUAUAUGUACAUAAUGAUUCACAUUACUGACUCAUGGAUCGUCAACAUAAAUCUUAGACAGCUCUUGUAUUGUAUAAAGGAAACACGCAAGACGCUGAAGUAACGCAAGACGCUGAUGUAGUAUUCGAUAGACUAUUUUAUUAAAUUUCCUUUUUCCAGGUUUGAAGGAAAUGUAAUCCCCUAUUUGUUUUGUUUUUUUCCAGCACAAUGAAGAUUCCCCACCCACUUAUGUUGAAGUCAGUGAUUCAUCUCCUGCUAGGGAGAGGAAACGGGCCAAUUUGUCUGAUGCCGAAUCUGCGCUUGUUGCGUCUUUAUUGCAGAGGCCACAAUACUCCCCAUCCAUGGGGCACGUCCUAUUACCUAGAUUGGAUUAUGCGCUUUUCGAGUACUUUAAGGAAACACUAGAAUCGUCCCCUUCCACGUACGUUUUUCCAGUUUUCUCAGAUAUGGCGUUCUUGACCAUUCAUGUUUUCUAACACGUAUGGCUUAUUUUUUUCAGGGCACAUCUCACUCGCUGCGAUUUCCUAAUUGAUAACAAAUUUAUCCUCAACUUAGCGACCCUUACCCAAUGGGUGUCCACUUUGGUAAUCCCUUAACCUUUUACUUUUGUUGUAUUCGGUUCAAUUCAACUUUCAUUAUAUGUUCAAACCUUUCACAUUGGUUACACGGCACAUGGAGGUCCUUGCAUCUUUCUUACAGCAAAGACAUUCCUAUGUCCUUGAGCACGAGAGGUCUGCAAUACUUCCUCCUUGGCUGGGCAACUAUCUCCAAGGAAAGCAUCGCAGUUUUCGGGCUGCCAAAAACAAGUUACGAGUGCGUUGGGACGCACAAUUUGAAAGAGCUAUCCCCGGCAAUCCUGGCGAGUGGUUCGAGCGUAUCGACAUGAUUUACAUGCCAAUGAUUUGGGAAGAUCGGCAUUGGGUUGGGUUGUCUAUCAGUCUACCCAACUGGUGUGUAUACAUAUUGGACCCCAAUUAUGAAUUAUACGAUAAACGCAAGGUCACCAAUUUCAUAGCUCCAAUUGUAGAAAUGCUGCCAUACAUAAUUAACAAAUUCUGCCAGCCACGCAUGUCCCAGCAAAACGGUUUGUCCAAGUUCAAGUGGCAGAGAUUUGAAGACAUCUAUGUGAACAGACGUUCAGGUGAUUGUGGUCCUGUGGCGAUGAAGUUGUUGGAACUUUACGCUAAUGACAACGGCCCAGAGGAGAUGGCAGAGAUUACCGACUCAAUUGUUGAUGAAUUCAGGGCACAAUACGCCAUGGAUAUAUACACUGAAUUAGUGGCUCCUAUUUAUGCAUCCCCCGCUUGUUAAUGUUGUAUCAAUCUUGUUCCACUUAUUAACAGUACCAUCUUUGUAAACAUUUCUUUAGACUAACAUCUUAUUUAUGCAUCGAUGCUUUAUCUUCUGGAUACUCUAUUAAUUGAAGUUCUUAUCGCUUCUUAAUAGUUUAUCUACUGAAGUUGUAUUUUCGGUCCAUGUUAUAGAAGACAAAUGGUUGGAUUAAGUACACUCUCAAUCAAAAUAAUUCCAAUCAAACAUAUCCACACGGAUACCGGUCAAAGUGCACUCUCAUAGUGGAUGGUUAUGUUAUCCCAUGUGUUUUCAUUGAUAUACAAAAUAAUUCCAUGUGUUUUCUUAAUGUGUUCCCAUGUGUUUUCUUAAUAGUUUAUCUACUGAAGUUGUAUUUUCGGUCCAUGUUAUAGAAGACAAAUGGUUGGAUUAAGUACACUCUCAAUCAAAAUAAUUCCAAUCAAACAUAUCCACACGGAUACCGGAUCAAGUGCACUCUCAUAGUGGAUGGUUAUGUUAUCCCAUGUGUUUUCAUUGGUAUACAUGGUUUUCAUUUUCAUUAUAAAUUUGGAACAUAUCCAAUAUAAUCAUAUCCACACUGAUUCCUGAUUGAGUCCACUCACACAUAAUUUUGUGAGAAACCUAUCUUCUUAAACAAAUCCACACGGAUACCAGUUUAAGUCCAAAGUCCAACUACAUGUUGCUUUAUGUCUUUCCAUAUAAAGGGGAACGCACUCCCUCAGAACUUAUGACCUAUAGCUUCUUGAUUCUUUAGCUAAACGUAAUGGAGGCCAACCUGGUUCGCGAUGUUAGUGUUAUAUAUUCGUAAUUCCAUCUAUAAAAUUUUUAGAUUGUGCCUCACCCUUUCUCUUUCGCAGGUCCACUCCGAUCGAACUAUCCACUUCCCAGCUCCCAUACUAGCAAAGAUCGUCAGCUACGUUUCUAUCGGUGGGGUCGAUUCUCUGAGGAAUUGGAUACACGCUGGCCCAGCAGGCAAAGACGCUGCGUUGUCCCCUGAGUGUCUCUCUGUUGUCCGUCUGGACCAAUCUCCUCACAUUCUAUGGUGGUCUAUGCCACAUUCCAAGUUCUACCUGUUCUUCUGCAAGUGUUUACAGCACAGCAAUCCAUACGCUGUGUACGAUGUUCUUAACAAAGGGGUAGUUUUUGAGAAUUUGACCAGAGAUUUCUACAGAAAUGGUAAAUGGUUAACGUUGUACGGACCUAUCACCAGACUUGGAGCUGUUGAAGAAGACGAGUUUGGAGGUUACGUCUACCACCCACCGAGACUUGGGAGACGUGUUGUCCGGCGGAUCUGCAACCGCUGCAACAAAUCAUGUGCCAACACGUGCCCACGUCCCAACGUUUGAGUUUAGAUGUGUCUAUCCACCUACAAAUAAUAAUAAAGUAAUCUUUUUUGGUAUGGUGGAUACCAAUGUUUUGACAUUGGGUUUUAUUUAUGUACUGUCCCAUCCCGCUGUUUUGGGAUGUUCUCUGUUAGUAAGCAAACGUCGUAUUGCCCAGCGAAUUUUCCUGAGGUACUUUUCUGUACCGUCCUUAUUAACUGUUGAGUUUUUGUGUUUGCAAACCUUUGUUGUGUAAUCAACAUACUACUUUACCCACAGCUCCACGUAUACCACACUAGUUUCACGUACCAUCCUUUCAACCUGACAUUCCUCCAAUUUUAAACUGUAUAUUCUACUCCAUUAAUAAAUGGUGGGGACUCUAAUUUGUGAGGGGCUUUUGUCCAAUAUUAGCUAAUUCAGUAAUGAUGGUACUUAAUUCUUCUACCUGCCAUCUUUCCCGCUUUGUUGUUAGGUUAAAGGGAUGCCUAGGUUAAAUGUCAUUUUAUAAACAGUUUGACCAGAGCUUAUGAACCUAACAACAUAUACAAUCCUUAACAUAAACGCAGCUAACACCCAUCUGUUCCUCUUCAAUGGAUCAACGUCAACCCGAAGGCACUUCUUUGGAGGUACAUUAUGUCCACACAGACUUAUCCUCUUUUGUUUUUGUUUUAUUGUUUUAAUUUCCCUAUCCUCGCACGUCUGUCCAUCGAGUCAUAUCCACAUCCCCGCUCCCCUGCUAGCGAAGAUUGUAUCCAUUGUGGCUGAAGACGGUGUUGACUCACUCAAGAGCUGGAUCAAAGCAGGUCCACUGGGUAAGGAAGCUGUCUUCUCUUCCGAAACACUUUCCACUGUUCGUCUUGACAAAUCUCCCGAUUUGCUUUGGUGGUCCAUGCCACACUCCAAAUAUCACAGCUUCUACUACAAAUGUUUAGCUGAGAACAACCCUUACGCGAAUUGGGCUGACCUCAACAAAGCUUUUUCGUUUGAAACUUUAAUAGAGCAGUACUACAGAACUGGAAGAUGGGCACCUGCGUUACCUGACCACCACCCGGCGGAGAACUUCUUACUACCACCUACGAUGCAGUUGAGAGUCGGAAGACCUCGCUGCCCACGUUGCAGGAGACCAUCCCAUCACCCUUCCACAUGUCGCCAUGGUUAGACUGUGUAGUUAACUAUCAGCUGGAUGCCCCCAUAUAUUUCCAUGCUUCCAUGUGUCUCCAUUUAAUCGGCUCGAUGUUUUAUCCCAUUUCUUUUUUUUUUUCAUUCUACCUCCAUGUGUUCUAUCUUCAUUUUCUCUCUAUUGUUAUUUUACCGUGGAUUUGAGAUAUCUAUAAUUUAUGUUUUUCUGUGAUUUUCAGUCCAUGUUUUGGAAUCUCUUUCCUUCCGGUGACUCUAUCUAUAUUUUCAAUCCAUCUUUCUGUUCUAUCUUCGAUACCAGUUCAAGUACAUUCAGACAUAUCCACAUGGAUAGCCUCUAAAUAACCCAAUCUCCACACAAAAAUUUCCACAUGUAAUCCAUUCAUUUUUUUGUUGAAUACCUAUAAAAGUCUGAAUAUCCACCUGGAUAUAGUCUCCUAACCGACUAAAAAUGUAAUCCAAUGCUGGUUUUGUAAUUUUCCCAACUAUAUGUGAUUUUUAGCUGGUUUGUGGACGGACAACCUUCUUACUGGUUUGUGGUUGCAUACUAUAUCCACACAUACAUAUCCACAGGGAUUCGAUCAGAUUCACACAUACGACUUCUAUAUCUCACAUGUUUGUUUAGGACAUCUGUUUUAUACGCCAACGUUGGUGUUCAUGAAACACAAUCUUGCAGGGACUAAGGAAAACACAAUCUUGCAGGGACUAAGGAAAACAAUACAUUAUGAAAACAAACACCCAUAGAUAACGCAUACACUUUUACGAAACCAACAUGAUAUCCCUUGCCAAAUAGAAGAGAAUGCAGUCCAUACACCUCUCACCGUUACACUCCCCAAGCAUAUCAUGCUCCUCCCAACAGUGUGGGAAAUCAUCAACAUGCCACGUUUCGGAAUAUGUACCCCACCGUCGAGGUCCAACCAUGUAAAUGUGGUACAUCAACGAGUUCGCCAUUCGUGAUAGCGCUUCAAAACUAUAUUUCUUCUUAAGCGCGUAGUAGUCAUCACUCUUAAGUGUCCCCGCACAGCUUAGCAACAUGUGAUACGCCAGAUUAGCCACACCGUAUACAUCCUUGACACGUUCCAAUGUUACGAGUGACUCGUUUAGAUCACAAGUCCUAAAUCCUAGCAGCAGGCCUUUCACAUACAGCGCGUACGGAUUCCCAGCAUUUAGACACCACCCGAAGAAAUCGAAUAAUCUGCUGCUCGGUCGCCACCAUCGAACAAAAUCGUAACUCCGAUCUAACCGGACAGGAAACAACGUCUCUUGCGAGAGUACAGCGAUCUUCCCCUCCUUCCCAGUCCGGAUCCAGCUUGCGAGUUCUUCUAUCCCCUCUUCUGCCACAUAGCUAACGAUCUUCGCUAGUAUUGGAGCUGGGAUGUGGACAUUAGGAACAAUACCUUCCUGCAUCCCACACAUGACAAUCAGACGUUACAUUAAUACACAUAACAAUAAUACUCGUCAAAAAUUGGAUUUUUUUUGUGGAUAGACAAUUACAAUUACCUUCCCUGCAACCGCCGCACCACUACUCUCGCCAACCGUUACAGGACGUUCUCGGCGAACAAGAGAACUGCGUCCGUAGAAAUGUCUUGACGCAGUUAUCCUAUGUGGAUCUGCCAUCUCACCCUCGUCACUCUCAUAUCCGUGAUCUGGUUCCAUUUCAAUACGGUAGUAGUUUUUCUCUUCUCACGAACAUGUCCCUUAUUUAUUGCAGCUUAAACCUAACACCUAUAGGUCUGUGGGAUUUCCAACGCUUGUUUGGAGGGAAUACUCCCGCCUAAACUUCCUGCCCUACUUUUUCCGCAACCACCAACAUUGGUUCAUACAUCUACCCACCGGUCAUCUCUUUUUCCAAAGCACUUCAGUGUUACAUAAAUCUGUUCUAUUUAUCAGUACAUGUGGACAAUGCCCUGUGGACAAGUUAUAAUAGACAAAUAACUAUAUCCAUAUGAAGAUGUGCGAAGCCAUUAGUAAACCAGAUCCUAAUCACGCUUACUGUUUGUUAAACAUGAGAAAGUAAAUGACAUAAUUCAUAAGGUGUUUCAUUAUGGAUAAUGCAUAGUAAAUGACAUAAUCCAUAGUGCCUCCCAUUUACACUUAUACUAAUCACGCUUACUGUUUGUUAAACAUGAGAAAGUAAAGGGAAUUCUUUUGAUUAACUCCACUAAGACAAAAUUUUAAGUUCGAAGCCAUGUGGAUACCUUUGACCUUUACUUCAUAAGUUAGGUAGCUAUUUGGCACAUGUACAAUCCCAUGAGAUUUUAUUGGUUGUUAAACAUGACAACACUCGUCGAAAGAUAAUGGGCUCACAUUUUAGCCUAAUUAAUAUAGACAUUAAUAUACUGAACACACAUAUCCUUGAACAUAUCCUUAACCGCUUGGCUACAGCCCAAAAAAUUACCAAUGUAACUUAUCCCCCAUUACAACCUAAACCAUCGGCUUUUUGUCUUUCACAAAAAAAUACCAGACUAACCGAAAACCCCAUUACAACUGUGUGGCCUGACAAUGUAGUCCAAAAAAUUUCAUCACACAUAUCCGUUAAUUGUUUAGCUUAACCAAAACACCCAUUACAUCAAAAACCUCCCGGGUGUCGACUUUUCCAUCAUCCAUAACUCUCUUCAGAUGGGGUUGUUACACCUAGUCCUAUUGUGCCCAGUCCCUUUGCACCUCGAACAUCUCUGAAUUUUCGCCGGAGCUGUCGAAGAUUUCUAUUCAAACAAACAAUAACUCAAUGUCAAACCAUCACAACCAUCAAAUAUAGAUAAUGGCAAACCAUCACAACCAUCAAUGUCAAACGUGCCAAACAUUGUAAAGAUUCAAAUAUCUUACUGGGAUUUCUCCAAUGGACGGUAUCCUCGAUUGUUUAGGCCUCCCGGAUGGCCUCCGUGCAUUAGGUGGCAGCAGCUCCCUAUAGACAAUCUCGUCAGACAACUCUAUGUUGGAUGCAUCAAACUCUGGGGUAAUGACCCCUGCAUAAGUAGCUGCCCAUGUAGUUGUUUUGUAAAACUCCCCUACCAGUGUAGCAUGAGGAAUCCCUUGAGUAUUUGCUGCCAACAUCGCAUGGCCACAUGGGAUUUUGUCUUUGUCAUAUUUUUUGCACGUGCACUUCUUCAAAUCCAGCAAAACAUGAUGCUUCCCACCGAACAACCCUACCACUUCAUAACUCCAGCUACUUAUAGUACCAACCUUGCUACUCUUUACCUCCACCAUACGCUUUGUCAUCUGUUUAUCUACCUCGGGUGUCACCAAACCCUUAUGCUUCCCAGCCUUCUUCCUACGAGCACUAAACCAGCGAGUAAGCAUAGCACGGAUGAAUUUCAGAAGCUCCACUAUUGGCGAAGCCCUUCCUUUCCACAAAGCCUUGUUCAAAGUCUCUGCGAUGUUGCUAGUCAUAAGGUUAUAACGUUCUCCUUGGAAAUAUGCCCGUGACCAAUGAGCAGCCCCAAUUUUGUCCAAGUACUUAGCACAUUCCAUGUUUUUCGCCCUUAUAUUUUUGUAUAACACCCUGAACGCACCAACUGUGUAAGCAUAACCAGCGUUGCUAACCAUCUUCGCCAAACCUUUGCUAUGGAAUCUAGCAUUAACAUUCCUAGCCAAGUGAACUAUACAAGCUCCAUGCUUAGCUUUUGGGAAAACACUUCUCUUAGCCGUGUAUAUAGACUGGUUAUGAUCUGAAAUUAUCGUUAGCGUAUCACUGUCAGCAAUAAUCCUCUCUACCUUCUGGAAAAACAAUGUCCAAGCUUCAUCAUUCUCGCUAUCCACAAUUGCGAACGCUAGGGGGAACACUUGGAAGUUAGCAUCCUGUCCACUUGCUGUCAACAAUACUCCCUUAUAUUUCCCGAUCAAAUGUGUCCCAUCCACAACUAGCACUCGCCGUAGAUGCCUAAAACCUUGGAUUGACGCACCAAAUGCUAGAAACAUAUACAAGAAUCGCUCUUUUCCAUCAUCUCCAACUACAGUUUUAAUGUCAGUCACGGUGCCAGGAUUUCCAAGCUUCAAUGCGUGCAAAUAAUCAGCAAGUUUGUCAUACUAUUCUUCCUCUGUCCCAAACAAAUUCCCCUGGGCCUUCUCCCGCGCUCUCCAACAUUUGCUGUAAGAUGCAUCAACCUUAAGCUCUUCCAAUACUAGCUGUUGCAAAUCCAUUGGUACAAGCCCCUUUGAGGGAUCACUGUAUUUAGCUUUAUAAACAGCUGCUAUUACUCUCGAUGUUGCCUUCUUCUUGUACUCAUUUCUUGUUUCCACGGGGCAAGUGUGUUCAAGUGAAGCUUUCCUUAUUUCAUAAUAACCACUGUUUCUCAACUCACAACACAACAUCCUCCAAUCACAUCUUUCAUCCACCCAGUUUAGCACAAAACAAUCCUUCCUGGUUCUCGUUUGUCUGAAAUGGAACAUUUUUUUAUCGCAUAUAUAGCUAUCCCUAUUUGGCAAUCCUCCUUACUUGCGAAUACUUUGCCCUUGUAUAUCCCUCUCUCGUCAUCAUCCCAAUCAAGAUCCGGUAUCGCUUCCCUCACAUACUCUGUAUCAUCAAACAAUGGUGGAAUAUCAAAUUCCUCAUCAUCUAUCUCCUCUAACUUACGUUUCUCUGCAGGACGUGUCGUCCUCUGCCCAUUACUUUCACCAAGCGGAUCACCUAACCCCCCUCUUUGUGGAUAUCGAACAGCCCCCUUAACAUCUUCCUCCUUUUUCAAGUUCACACUUUCAUCAAAAGGGUCAUGUGAGCUCCACAUUACCUCAACUGGGUUGGUCCGACCAAAAUCAUCUCCAAUGAAAUUUCCCCAGAACUCUCUAUCAUAACCUUUAGGAGACACCACAACAUCAGUUUCUUCUGGUUCCACCCCCUCCAUUUCACCCCAUUCACCUUCCGCUUCCAAACUUCCACCACCAGUCUCCCCACCUUCCUUCGUUUCUCUCACCACCUCGUCAACAUCAUCUAGUAGAUCUGCAUCAGAUUGCGUAGUAAUGAUUUCAGGUGGUUUUGAAGCAGGUGUAGACGUACCAGGAGUAGACGAUGUCAGGAAAAUAUCUUCCAAAUCAUUCUCGCUUCCACCUGAACUCUUACCAGAAGAGUAACUCCCGCAUCCUCUCUUCACGCCACCCUCACACUCUGCUUUCCCGGUUGCUAUUUCCACACCUCUUUUUCUGUAUUCCCCAAACUUAACAAACAUGUUCAAGCACUUGUUUGAGCGGAACAGACUAUUGAAAUACUCCAAACCACUGGGGGUAGUGACCAGCACUGGAGGAGUUCUCGCCCCUGUCGUGAACUCCAUACUAUUGGGUGGACAGAAGCUGAAACUAGCCUUUUUCACCCCGACGUUAAACUCCGACACGACAGCAUCUUCAAAGUCUCCCAGAGACAUAUCCUCCGACACCGGCACCGCUCUCGAAACCAAAUACUUGUCCACUUCAAACCUCCAAAUCCCAUCCAAGCAAAGAGACCACUCUCCACACAGAACGAUACAAUGUCCAUCGAAACCAACCUAAUCCACAAAAACAUAGCAUAGUUAGUUUUCAAAAGUUUCGAAUCCACCCAACUCCAUAACAAAAUUGGGAAUCAUGUAUCCACGCAAAAAACCUUUGAAUCAGACAUGUCGGCUGUUCGGGAGCAUUCACAAAAUACAAUUUACUUCUUUUCCUUAUCCACACAACAUCAUAACCUUAAAAAAAUUGGUUCCCAAAUAUCAGCCGCACGAUCUAUGUCAACUACAGUUUAUAACUGACGGUUCAGAUCUAUUUUAAAGGAACUUCUUUAGUUAGUAUCUAGUUAACGCUCUUUUUUAUGUCCUCCAACAUGUGAGGUUAUUAUCGUCCAUAAACGUAGUCUACAGUGCCAAAAACAUUGAAAAACGGCGCCUCAUCCCAAAAGGGUGUCAUAUUGUAACAAAACAUAGACAAACGGUGCUAUCAAGCAACCUUCCCAAUAAAGAAUUGAUGAUGAUUUUGAUUGUUCUUCUCAAUUUUAUUGCGCGAGAUGAAGAGCGAUUGUAAGUCAGAGUGAUGACGUUUGAAGAAAACUAGAGAAUCGGAAAAAGGAAAAUCAUUCCAUUUUUACUGCUCUCACUUUUUUCUCUUUGUGUACGAUUUUUCAGAUCUAGUUUUGUUUCUUUAUUGUUUUGCCCAGAUCUUCAUUGUGGCUUGACUUUUCAGAAGAGAAAGGGCAACAAGAGUGAACUUUCCAUUCAUUCCCAUCAGCGUAGAGGUGGGGUUCCGACAAACAAUGCAGCUGUGACAUGGCUGAGGAUCCCUGAUUUAGGUAUCUCCCGUUGAAAACUACCGAGGUUUUAUGUAUUUUAUAAACCAUAUUAAAGUUUAUAAUUUUCAUUAUUUAAAAGGGGUAUCUUUGAAAAUAGAUAGAAAAUGGCGUAUUUUUUAAAAAAUGUACACCAAAAGGGGCAUUCUCAAAAAUUCUCAAACAAAAUUAUUGUAAAAACCUCUAUAUAUUAGUAUUCAAUAAACUAAUAAUCACUAAUAAAAUUUUUCCCGUUUCAAAUUAGGUCAAUAUAAUUUUGUAUCUCUUUGUAUACUUGGAUUCCACGUCAGCAUGACUUAUGCACACUUGGAUUCCACAUCAGCAUGACUGCUGAACACAUUGAUGCCACAUCAUCGUUAAUUAAACAUUUAUCACGUUUUUGUAUGUUUAGGUACAAAAACUAAACUUUAUGUUUGAAAUUGAAAUUAUUUAAAAGUGCAUGUAUGUUAUAGCACAUGCGAUAGUUCAAUGUAUAAAUUCAACACCGUGUAAUUGUGCCAUACAUAGAUAUAAGUUAAGAUACAAAUAUAAUAUUACCAUUAAUGAGAAAUUGUAUUUUGUUUUAUAAAUACAAUUAUUCCAUUGGCAAUACAUGUAGUUAAAUUUUCCUAUUUUUGUCUUCAACUUACAACCGUCUUUCGACUAUUUUUGCCUGUUUGUUUGCUUGUGACCAGUGACAGUGACAUCGAUUAGUGACAGCGACCAAAACAUGUUCAUUUGCCUGUCGAUGAUCCCGCGACAGUCGCCAGAGACCAGCUACAGCAAUUUUUAGUCCUAGAAAAUUUCAGCGAUCAUCAGCGAUCAGUCGCUGCAACAUGUCGCUAGAUUAAGCGAUAGGCAAAUGAACAACAUAGCGACUACAAAUCUAAAAAGUGUUUAAUUAAAUUGAUUAAAGUUAAAUAAAUUAAAUUUUGAUCAAAAUUAUUGAAAAUUAAACUAAAUAUAAUAAAUCACAUAAACAAUUUUUUUAAAAAAAUAUUAAUUUAAUGUAAUUUAAUUAUAUUCUAAAUAAAUGAAUUAUAAUUAAAUUAAAUUUAACAAAAUUAAAGUGAAUAAAAUAAAGAGAAAAUUGUGGGUUAUGCCCUGAAUAGUAACAAAACUUUUAAGGAAUGCCAUUUAAAGAAAUCCUUUCUCCCUUACCCCAUUAUCUCUCUCUUCUUCUUCAUCUUCAUCUUCAUCUUUUUUUUUUAAUUAUUUCAACAACACACAGUACUGACGGAUUUCAACAACACACAGUACUAACGGACCAGAUCCGACGGCCGAACUCCGAUGGACCAGAUCCGGCGGACCAUAGCCAAUUCCGGUGAACUAUAACCAGCUCCGUAGACCAGUUUCGGCAGACCAGAUUCGACGGACCAGUUCCGACAGACCAUAACUCCAGCAGACGAGUUCCGGCAGACCACAGUCAGUUCCGGCAGACCACAGUCCGGGGGACAAAUUCCUAGGGACCAGAUCCGACAAACCAGUUCCGACAGACGAGAUCCGAUGGACCAGAUCUAAUGGACCCGAAUCGGUAGACCAAGCUUGUCUAUCCUACAGUUCUCUUGAAACCACAAAUAAUUGAGUAGAAUAUGAAACAAGUGAUGCAUCUAUGGAAGAUAUCCAUCAACGAUCUAUCUAGGUGUACACUUUGGAUCACACAUUUGUGCGUAGAUGGACUAGAUCCAGUGGACUAGAUCCGAUGUCCAGAUCCGAUGUCUGUAAUAUGUCCAUUUUUGUUUCCUAAUUUGUUGUCCAUCAUGCGUAUAGAGUAAAGUAAAUCUAGUUUUUCAUAAACGAACUUGUCCACAAUAUAUUUCUUAGAUGAAUAGAAAAGAAAUUGUCCAUAAUCGAGUGUGGACAAAAAUCAAAGAGUGUCGACAAAGAAAAACUUGUCUAUUGCUUAAUGUCCGUAAAAGUCAGCCUUUUUUGUUUUCCUUCCUUCCUAUUUUAGCAAAACUCACUCAACAAUGCUGAGGGCAAAAUUGUCCAAGUUUUCUUCUUUGUGGCAUGUUUUGAAAGACAUUAUUGAUAAUGACACUUCCACAAUUUUGAGUUUUCAAAAUGGCAUAAUACAUAAAAUUCCGUAAAAUAAAACUAAGACAUAAAUUCGUGAUUUGAAAAAAUAUUAUUAAACUAUUUCAUAAUGUAUAUGUAAAUUAUAUUGUAAAUAUUUUUAUAAUGUAUAUGUAAAUUAUUUUUUAUUUGAAAAUACAAAAUAACAAAAAUUAAAGAGAACUUUUGAGAAAUGCCCCUUUUGGUGUAUCCUUUUUUAAAAAUAUCCCCAUUUUCUAUCUAUUUUCAAAAAUACCCCUUUUCAAAUAUGAAAAAUUGCAAACUUUUAUAUACUUUAUAAGGUACAUCUAGAUCAUCAUUACUACUAAGAGAUUCAAUCCAAAUAUUUAUAAAGUUAUAAAAGUUUCUAAACGGCAUUUAUAAGGCUUUUAUAAGGUUUUUAAAAGGUUUACAAAGUUUUUAUAUAGUUUUAAAUGAUUUUUAAAAGGUUUUUAAAAGGUAUUUAAAAAAAUGGUAUUGGAAAAUGGUAUUUAUAUAUACACACAUACAAAAAUAGUUUGUGGAGAAUUUUUGAGAAAUACCCCUUUUGGUGUACCCCUUUUUAAAAAUACCCCUUUUAUCUAUCCAUUAUCAAAAAUACCCCUGUUUAAAUAUGAAAAAUUAUAAUUUUUAUAUGGAUUAUAAGGUACUUCUAUAUAAUAACUACUACUGGGAGAUUCGAUACAAAUAUUUUAUAAUGUUUUAAAAUGUUUUAAAUCGUUUUUACAAGAUUUAUAAGGUUUUUAAAAGGAUUUAUAAGGUUUUUAAAAGGUUUUUAUAAGUUUUUACGGUAUUUAUGAAAGUUAUAUAAAAUUUUAUACACAUACAAAGCUAAUUUUCGUAUAUUUAUAAGCUUACACAUAUAUUUGGAUUGAUUUCAACAUUUUUAGUGGUUAUUUUGAUAAAGUUGGAAAAUAGGGUAUUUUAGAAAAGUGGUAUUUGAAAAGGUUCAUCUUUUUAAAUUCCCUCUAUUUUGUGUGUAUAUAUAUAAGCUUACACAUAUUUUUCUGAUAAAUUUCAAAAUUUUAGUGACUUUUCGAUCAAAUUUGAAAGAGAGAUACUUUUAAAAAAUGAUAUUAGAAAAUAGUAUUUUUGAAAUUCUUCCAAAAUUAAAACAAAAACGACAUUCGCUAGGGACAGAUACGAACAACAUAGCGACAGUCGCCAGCAACAGUUUUUACAGUCGCCAGCGACAGAUCUUACAGUCGCUAGCGAUCAGGCAAACGAACAGGACAGAUGUACUGCACAUUACUUUCCAUUCAUAAAAAUAAAUAGUUAUCAUUUAUUAUUGCAGUUCUCCCGUCAAAAUUCUGCAGGUAGGAUAAAAAAUAAAAUAUUUUUAUUUUAUAGUCAUGAUUUUAACUGAUAAAGGAGUGCAGAACAAACACAGCUAUUUUAAAGUGUUUAAUAUAUGAUCUGCACUUGAACUGCCAGAUCUGCUCAAUCUACUUUUAUUCUGCUAGAUCUGUUUAAUACGCCUGAUCUGCUCUGCUUGUUAUGCUUUCUCCUUUCGAAGCCUUAAGAGAGCGAACUAACGUAGAUUACUUAUUUAUAUAUUACUUACCCGAAUCUACUUAACUAAAAAUUUAACUUGAUUUAGUUAAUGAAAAAUAAAGCAUGAUUUACAUUUUACAACACUAGAUUUUGAUACAAAACUUAUAAUAAAUAAUUCAAUAGUAUCGGAUAGUACGUAAAUUUAAAAUUUGUUACAUGAUUGAACGAUACCCUUAAACACCAUUACUAAUCAAAUAAAUACAACUUUUGAAUGUACGACUACGUUAGAACAAUAAAAACAAAAGUUAACAAGCAUCACUCAAGUUUUAUCAACACUCACAAGUUACAAGUCUCUUCUUGACCAAUAUUUACUAGUAUAUAUCUUCCAAAACACAGUGACUUGCUAAUUACUCAACAGAAUGUUCAACGUAUAACCACUCGAACCUAUCAGAUUAGAUAACCGGUUUAAUGGUUUAGUAAAUUAACUUGUAUAGAUGCUGUAUAGUAAUAGUAUAUAUACGUUGUACAGUUGAUCAUUUUACAAUUAAUGAGAAUAAACAGAUUAAUAUCUCUAACAAACUUUUCUCAUCUCUCUCAAUCUCAUGAACGCUAACAUGGUAUCAGAGCCAUCAAUGGUGAUUUCUACGUAAUUCCGAUCAGAUUUCGUCGUUUUUGAGCUCGAUUCUUUGUUUCCGCCGAUUGUUUUGAAGAUCCGAUGGUGUCUGUUGCUCGUGGUAUACGGAAAUCGACUCGAUCGAAGUCCUCGACGAGUUCCGCCGUUCGCAAGCAAUCACAGUCCACCGGAAAUGUUGAAUCACCUCCGGAUUCUCCUCCAGUUGCACCGUCUCGUGCUUCUAGAGCUUCGCGAGGUUCUCUCUCUCUUGGAUCUGAAGAUCCGACGCAGUCUCCGUUCUUUAUGCAUAGCGCUGAUCAUCCAGGUUUAAACAUCAUCUCUCAUCGUUUAGAAGAAACGAAUUAUGGUGACUGGAGUGUUGCUAUGCGUGUUUCUCUUGAUGCUAAGAAUAAGAUCGGGUUUAUAGAUGGAUCUUUACCUCGUCCGUUGGAAUCGGAUAGUAAUUUUCGUCUAUGGUCUCGAUGUAACAGUAUGGUGAAGUCCUGGCUCUUGAAUUCUGUAUGUCCUCAGAUAUAUCGUAGCAUUUUACGUAUUGAGAAUGCUUCUGAUAUAUGGCGUGAUCUCCAUAGUCGAUUUCACAUGACUAAUCUCCCACGCACAUACAAUCUCACUCAAGAACUUCAGGAUUUUCGUCAAGGAUCUUUAUCUCUCUCUGAAUAUUAUACUCGCUUGAAGACUUUAUGGGAUCAGUUGGAUAGUGCAGAGGAGAUCAAUGAUCCUUGUACUUGUGGAAAAGCUGCUCGUCUGCAACAGAAGGCAGAGAGAGCUAAGAUAGUAAAAUUCCUAGCUGGAUUGAAUGAGUCUUAUGCUAUCAUUCGCAGACAGAUUAUUGCUAAGAAAGUUCUUCCUAGUUUAGCUGAGGUGUAUAACAUUUUGGAUCAAGAUAACAGUCAACAAGGGUUCUCAAAUGUUAUUGCUCCACCUACAGUUUUUCAAGUCUCUGAGAGUGUUCCUGCCAGCUCUGUUUUUGUUUCUAACCCUGCAGAUCAAACCAUAUGCUAUGUUCAGAAUGGUCCUAAUAAAGGAAGGCCAAUUUGUUCAUUUUGCAAUCGUGUUGGUCAUAUUGCAGAAAGAUGUUACAAGAAACAUGGCUUUCCCCCUGGUUUCACUCCUGCUACAAAGAAACAGUCUACUGAGAAGAAUCAGAAAUCUCAACCUCUGGCUGCUCAAGUUGCUAUGAUGCCUACAGAACCUGAUAGUUUGGAAUCUAUGAUUGGGAACAUGAAUAAAGACCAGCUCAAACAGUUCAUUGCUAUGUUCAGUUCUCAGCUUCAGUUUCAACCAAACAAUACCACAGCUGUAGCUUCUACUUCCAAUUCCACUAAUACUGGUAUUUCUUUCUCUCCAUCUACCUAUUGUUUUGUUGGAAUCUUGACUGUUGCCAAUAAGACUCUAUCCUCACAAUCAUGGGUGAUAGAUUCUGGGGCUACACAUCAUGUUUGCCAUGAUAAGAGUCUCUUCUUGAUGAUUGAUCCGAAUCUUGUGAGUUCAGUAAACUUACCUACAGGAUCUACAGUCAAGAUUAGUGGUGUUGGCACUGUUAAGAUCAAUGACAACAUUCUUCUCAAGAAUGUGUUGUUCAUUCCAGAAUUUAGAUUGAAUCUCCUGAGUAUUAGCUCUCUCACUGAUGAUCUUGGUUCUCGUGUAAUAUUUGAUCCGUCUACUUGUGAAAUUCAGGAUCCUAUCAGGGGAAUGAGCAUUGGGAGAGGUAGGAGAGUGUCAAAUCUAUAUGUGUUGGACAUUGAAGAAACACCAGUCUCAGUGAAUGCAGUUGUGGAUAUCAGUUUAUGGCAUAGAAGACUUGGUCAUGCUUCUUUACAGAGAUUGGAUGUCAUUUCUGAGUCUUUAGGAACUACCAAGCAUAAGAAUAAAGGAACAGAUUUUUGUCAUGUCUGUCACUUAGCUAAGCAGAGGAAGUUGUCUUUUCCUUCUCCAAAUAACAUUUGUAAUGAAACCUUUGACAUGUUGCAUAUUGAUAUUUGGGGACCUUUCUCUGUGGAAACAUUUGAUGACCAUUCAAGAGCAACAUGGAUUUACUUGUUAAGGAAUAAGUCAGAAGUCCUCACAGUAUUUCCAGCUUUUAUUCAACAAGUUGAGACUCAGUAUAAUAAGAAGGUAAAAGCAGUGAGAUCAGAUAAUGCUCCUGAGUUGAGUUUUACAAGCUUCUAUCAACAAAAAGGGAUUAUGUCUUUCCAUUCCUGUCCAGAAACUCCUGAGCAGAAUUCAGUAGUGGAGAGGAAGCAUCAACAUAUUCUGAAUGUUGCUAGAGCAUUGAUGUUCCAAUCUCAGGUUCCUUUGUCUUUUUGGGGUGAUUGUGUGUUGACUGCAGUCUUUCUCAUCAACAGAACACCAUCACCGCUUCUUGCUAACAAGGCACCAUAUGAGAUUCUCACUGGUACACCUCCUAAGUAUGAUCAGAUCAGAACGUUUGGAUGUCUUUGUUACAGUUCAACAUCACCAAAACAGAGACACAAAUUUCAACCACGAUCAAGAUCAUGUGUGUUUUUGGGCUAUCCAGCUGGUUACAAAGGGUAUAAGUUGAUGGAUUUGGAGAGUAACAAAGUUUUUGUAUCCAGGAAUGUGAUUUUUCAUGAAGAUGAGUUUCCAUUGGCCACAUCUCAACAGUCUGAGGCAUCUCUGGAAUUUUUCACACCAAUGGUUCCUGUGCAUACAACUGAACAGCAAACUCCUCUUCCUUCUUUUCAUCCCUCACAAAUUUCUGAUAUAUCACUACCCAUUUCUUCACAAAGAAUUCGGAAACCUCCUGCUCAUUUGUCUGAUUAUCAUUGCAAUUCUAUGCAAUCUCUUUUCAAAUAUCCUAUUUCAUCUACUCUUUCUUACUCUAAAAUUUCUCCUUCUCAUUUGUGUUAUAUCAAUAAUAUCACAAAGAUUCAUAUUCCAAAUUCAUAUGCUGAAGCACAGGGCACCAAAGAAUGGUGUGAGGCAGUUGAUGCAGAGAUUGGUGCAAUGGAAUCCACUAAUACAUGGGAAGUGACAACAUUACCACACGGGAAGAAAGCAGUAGGUUGUAAAUGGGUGUUUACUGUGAAGUUUUUGGCAGAUGGUACACUUGAGAGAUAUAAAGCAAGGUUAGUGGCUAAAGGUUAUACUCAGAAAGAAGGUUUAGAUUAUACUGAAACCUUUUCUCCUGUCGCUAAAAUGGCCACUAUCAAGCUAUUGCUCAAAGUAUCAGCUUCUAAGAAAUGGUUUCUGAAACAAUUGGAUGUAUCGAAUGCAUUUUUGAAUGGAGAAUUGGAUGAAGAAAUCUUCAUGAAGUUGCCUGAAGGAUAUGCAGAUCGAAAAGGCAUUGUUUUACCACCUAAUUCAGUUUGCAGGUUGAAAAGGUCCAUUUAUGGCCUGAAACAGGCUUCAAGACAAUGGUUCAAGAAGUUUUCAACCUCCUUAUUGAAUUUGGGUUUUCAGAAGACUCAUGGAGAUCAUACACUCUUUCUUCGCAGUUAUGAUGGUGAUUUUGUGGUUGUUUUAGUGUAUGUCGAUGACAUAGUCAUUGCAAGUACGAGUGAAGUUGCUGCAGCCAAGCUCACUUCUGACUUGCAGGCUCAGUUUAAACUUCGUAAUCUUGGGGAUUUGAAGUAUUUCCUCGGCUUGGAGAUUGCUCGUACUGCUGCAGGUAUUUCUUUAUGUCAGCGGAAAUAUGCUUUGGAAUUGCUUACUUCCACUGGCAUGCUUCAUUGUCAACCUGCUUCUACACCUAUGGUUCCAAAUCUGAGAAUGAUGAAGGGUGAUGGUGAUUUACUUGAAGACAGAGAAAUGUAUCGUCGCAUUGUUGGAAAAUUGAUGUAUUUGACCAUCACCAGACCAGAUUUGAGCUUUGCUGUUAACAAGUUGUGCCAAUUUUCUGCUGCUCCACGUACAACUCAGUUGAUUGGUGUUUAUCGUGUCUUGCAGUACAUCAAAGGCACUGUAGGUCAAGGUCUAUUCUACUCUGCUUCUCCUGAUCUUACUUUGAAAGGAUUUGCAGAUGCAGAUUGGGCAUCAUGUCCUGAUAGUCGUCGCUCCACUACUGGUUUCACCAUGUUUGUUGGUGAUUCCCUUAUCUCUUGGCGCUCCAAGAAGCAAACAACAGUUUCUCGCUCUUCUGCAGAAGCUGAAUACAGAGCUCUUGCUCUGGCUACUUGUGAGGUCAUUUGGUUACAGACUUUGCUAAAAUCCUUGCAAGUCUCAUCUGCUGUUCCUAUACUCUUCUCAGAUAGUACAACAGCCAUACACAUUGCUACCAAUCCUGUAUUUCACGAGAGAACGAAACAUAUUGACAUUGACUGUCAUACAGUCCGGGAUCGGUUAGACAAUGGCGAGCUUCGACUACUUCAUGUUCGCACAGAUGAUCAGAUUGCUGACAUCUUAACUAAACCAUUGUUCCCUCAUCAGUUUGAAUAUCUGAAGUCCAAGAUGAACAUCCUUAACAUUUUUGGAGUGUCAUCUUGAGGGGGCCUAUCAGAUUAGAUAACCGGUUUAAUGGUUUAGUAAAUUAACUUGUAUAGAUGCUGUAUAGUAAUAGUAUAUAUACGUUGUACAGUUGAUCAUUUUACAAUUAAUGAGAAUAAACAGAUUAAUAUCUCUAACAAACUUUUCUCAUCUCUCUCAAUCUCAUGAACGCUAACAGAACCCACCGCAGGGUUAGGUUAUCAAGAGAUUAUUAAAGAGCCACAACUUGGAUAGGUUUCUUAAGCACCAAGAGAGAAAGAUAAGAGUGAGUUAGAGUACGUGAGAAUGGCUUUUGCAGAGAAGAACCCUUCUUAUAAUCUUCGUUUUCUUUUGAUCAUAUGCAUAGUUUUGAGCUGUUCUAUCGCAGCUUCUGCAACUAUCGCAGAAGCAAAUGCUCUUCUAAAAUGGAAAUCUACUUUCAAGAACCAGAGACCCUCAUCAAAGUUGUCUUCGUGGGUCAAUGGAAACACCAAUACAAGCUUUUUCUGCACCAAUUGGUAUGGUGUUUCCUGCAACUCACGAGGGAGUAUCGAAAAGUUAAACCUCACUGACAACGCUAUAGAAGGUACUUUCCAAGAUUUCCCUUUUUCGUCUCUCCCAAACCUUGCUUACAUUGAUCUUAGCAUGAACAGUUUCUCUGGAUCUAUCCCUCCUCAAUUCAGAAACAUCUCCAAGCUAAUCUACUUUAACCUCUCCACAAACUACUUAACCGGAUCGAUUCCAUUUGAGAUCGGUCUCUUAACCUCAGUUCAAGAUAUCGACUUGUCUAACAAUUCCCUAUCUGGACCAAUACCCUCUUCCAUUGGAAAUCUAAACAACUUGGUAAAACUGCACCUCUUUUCCAAUUCUUUCUCGGGUCCACUUCCUUCUGAGAUUGGAAACUUACCCAACCUUGUUGUUCUAGGUCUUAGUAGAAACAACCUGUCUAAGUCAAUACCCUCUUCCAUUGGAAAUCUCACCAAUUUGGUAAAGGUUUAUCUUCAUACCAAUUCUUUCUCGGGUCCACUUCCUUUUGAGAUUGGAAACUUACCCAACCUUGUUAAGCUAGAUCUUAGUACAAACAACCUGACUGGACCAAUACCCUCCUCCAUUGGAAAUCUAACCAACUUGGUAAAACUGCACCUCUUUUCCAAUUCUUUCUCGGGUACACUUCCUUACGAGAUUGGAAACUUACCCAAACUUGUUGAGAUAGGUCUUUACAGAAACAACCUGUCUGGACCAAUACCCUCUUCCAUUGGAAAUCUAACCAACUUAGUAAAAUUGUACCUCUAUACCAAUUCAUUCUCGGGUUCAAUUCCUUCUUCCUUAGGAAACCUGAAGAACUUAACAGGUCUUUAUCUUGAUAUGAAUUAUCUAAGUGGUUUCAUUCCCGUGGAACUAGGAAACAUGGAAUCCAUGAUUCAGUUGGCGAUAAGUCAGAACAAUCUUAUAGGUUAUGUUCCUAAUUCCUUUGGAAACUUUACCAACCUGGAAUUGUUGUGCCUUAGUGAUAACCACCUCUCUGGUCUUAUUCCACUAGGAGUAUCAAACUCUUCAAAGUUGACUAUCUUGCAACUCGGUAGAAACAACUUCACUGGUUUCUUGCCUGGAAACAUUUGUGAAGGUGGGAAGCUUCAAUAUCUCUCAUUAGAUGAUAAUCACCUCGAAGGUCCUAUACCAAAAAGUUUGAAAAAUUGUCAGAGCUUGAUUAGAGCAAGAUUCAUAGGGAACAUAUUCAUUGGAGAUAUUUCUGAAGCUUUUGGUGUUUACCCACAUCUUGAUUUCAUUGAUCUUAGUCACAACAAAUUCCAUGGUGAGAUUUCAGGCAACUGGGAGAAGAGUCGAAAACUAGGUGCCUUGAUCAUGUCAAACAACAACAUCACAGGUGUUAUCCCACCAGAGACUUGGAACAUGACACAACUAGUUGAGUUGGAUCUGUCUACCAACAACCUAAUUGGUGAGCUUCCAGAAUCAAUUGGAAAACUCACAGGUUUGUCAAAGCUACUACUUAAUGGGAAUCAGCUAUCUGGAAGAGUUCCCGCAAGGUUGAGUGUCUUAACCAUGCUUGAGUAUCUGGACUUAUCUUCAAACAAUUUUAGUCAGAUCCCACAAACCUUUGAUUCAUUUUUAAAGCUUCAUGACAUGAACCUGAGCAGGAACAUGUUCAACGGAUGCAUUCCCCGACUAACAAAACUUACUCAGUUAAAUCAUCUUGAUCUCAGCUACAACCAGCUAGAUGGAGAAAUCCCAUCACAACUCAGCUCCUUACAGAGCCUUAACAAGCUCGACCUGUCACACAACAAUCUUUCCGGUAUCAUUCCCACAAGUUUUCAGGGCAUGAAAGGGCUGACAUAUAUCGAUAUAUCAAACAAUAAACUCGAGGGUCUGCUACCAGAAAAUCCCGCGUUUGAAAACGCAACAGCAGAUUCACUGGAGGGAAACAUAGGCUUAUGCAGUAAUAUUCCUAGACAAAGGUUGAAAUCAUGCCCUAUCACUUCCCCCGGGUUCAAGAAAAAGAAGAAUGGCAACCUUAUUGUUUGGAUACUAGUGUCGAUCCUAGGGGCACUCGUCAUUCUCUCUAUAUGUGCAGGUAUAUUUACCUACUACCUUCGAAAACGAAAAAAACACAUUGGAAAUAACAACUCAUAUGCUGAUAGUGGACAGACUCUGUCCAUCUUUUGCUACGAUGGCAAAGUCAAAUACCAAGAUAUCAUCCAAUCCACAAAUGAAUUUGAUCCAAAAUACGUGAUCGGAAUCGGAGGAUACGGCAAAGUCUACAAAGCAAACCUCCCAGGCGCAACCGUAGCAGUGAAAAAGCUACACCAAACAAUGAACGAAGAGAUAUCAAAGCCAGUGGUGAAGUAAGAGUUCCUAAACGAAGUAAGAGCGUUAACAGAGAUCCGUCACCGCAACGUCGUGAAGCUCUUCGGCUUCUGCUCCCACCGCCGCCACACAUUUCUGAUCUACGAGUACAUGGAAAAAGGAAGUUUAAACAAACUGUUAGCUGACGACAAAGAAGCUAAGCAACUCAACUGGACCAAAAGGAUAAGCAUCAUCAAAGGUGUUGCAAACGCGUUAUCGUAUAUGCACCAUGACCGAACUACUCCAAUCGUCCACCGUGAUAUUAGUAGCGGCAAUAUCCUUCUCGAUAACGAUUACAAAGCUAAGAUCUCCGAUUUCGGUACAGCGAAGCUUCUCAAGAUGGAUUCCUCAAAUUGGUCCGCCGUCGCCGGAACCUACGGCUACGUCGCUCCAGGUAAAUCUAAAUCAACGAUAAUUGAAAAUUGAAAUUGAGCUCAUGAAACUGAAAAUUCUCAACAGAAUUGGCUUACGCGAUGAAGGUGACGGAGAAAUGCGAUGUGUAUAGCUUUGGAGUAUUGACGCUGGAAGUGAUAAAAGGGAAACAUCCGGGAGAUUUGGUUUCGGCUUUGUCAUCUUCGUCUCCGGGAGAAACUCCGUCGUUGAGAAGCAUUUCCGAUGAGCGUUUAGGAGAACCAGAGGCGGAGAUUAGAGAGAAGCUUGUGAAGAUGAUGGAAGUGGCGUUGUCGUGCUUACAAGCAGAUCCAAUGUCUCGG
rnacentral:lncRNA from 1 species